UGACUGUGCUAAGGUAGCAUAAUAAUUUGUCUUUUAAAUGGAGACUGGAAUGAAAGGUUUUAUUGGAGUAUAUUGAUGAUUUAAUAAACUUGUGAAGUUAGGGUUUAAGUUAAAACCCUUAAACUAUUUUGAGGGACGAGAAGACCCUGUGGAUCUUUAUUUUGAGCAAUUUAAAUAUUUAUAAUUUUUUUACUUCGCAAAAAAUUUGAUUGGGACGAUUUUUGUUUUAACAUAAAUUAUUUAAUUUAUAAAGAUCCUGUUUAAGGAAUAAAGAUUAAGUUACCCCAGGGAUAACAGCGUUAUAUUAUUGGAUAGUUCAUAUUGAUAAUAAUGUUUGCGACCUCGAUGUUGAAUUAAA
rnacentral:rRNA from 1 species